GGGAAACAGGAUAUAAAUACAACAAACAUGGACCAUAAACCCCGGGAAACAGGAUAUAAAUACAACACACAUGGACCAUAAACCCCGGGAAACAGGAUAUAAAUACAACCCACAUGGACCAUAAACCCCGGGAAACACGAUAUAAAUACAACACACAUGGACCAUAAACCCCGGGAAACAGGAUAUAAAUACAACACACAUGGACCAUAAACCCCGGGAAACACGAUAUAAAUACAACACACAUGGACCAUAAACCCCGGGAAACAGGAUAUAAAUACAACAAACAUGGACCAUAAACCCCGGGAAACACGAUAUAAAUACAACACACAUGGACCAUAAACCCCGGGAAACAGGAUAUAAAUACAACACACAUGGACCAUAAACCCAGGGAAACAGGAUAUAAAUACAACAUACAUG